AAGAAAAAUCAAUUAUAAUUAUAACACCAAAACCAAUUUUACAACUAAAGAGUUGAUUUUGACUCUUCUACAAUUGAAACCAAAGAUACACUUAUUGGCUGGUUUAAUGUACUACGAGCUAAUAGAAAGCAGUACACUUUGGUUCUCACAGAUAGCAGUACACUUUUGCUCUCACAGAACCAUAAUAAAAGAGAGAGUUAGUAGUACAGCUAAAAUUUCCUAGUACAUGCAUAUGUACUGCAAAAAGUACAAACCAUUCCCUCCUUAUCCUAUUACAUAUAGAAAUCAAACGGAAUCACACCUUCAUUCAACAAUGCAUUUUAUGCAUAUGGUAAUUUGAAAACCCAAAUGUUCAAUGAGGCAACCUUCUUAUUAGAUGAGAAGCUGAUUAAUUUCACACAAAGAGGGGGUGACAAAAUGGUGGACAGCAGUAGCCGUGGAAGAUAGAGGUGGUGUUUGGUGCUAACCAGAGUUGUGCUGGAUGAUAUUUCUAAAAUAUUAAUAAAUAUAUGUAAGUUUAUACGUUUUUUUAUAGAUACAAUCAGGUUGUUGGUUCAGUGGUUGUUUUUCAAAUUGAUAUUGAAUAACUUCUCA